CCUGGUAGUUCUAGCGAGGUGGACCCACCCGUUCCCAUCCCGAACACGGAAGUGAAACGCCUCAGCGCUGACGAUACUUGGCUCGCAAGGGUCUGGGAAAAUAAGUCACGGCCAGGG
rnacentral:rRNA from 1 species